CUUCUUUCUUCCUUUCAUUAUUAUUAUUAAUAUGAUGAUGUUACAUUUUUGCAAUUGGCAUACAGAGGGCUCACCAAUAGGGCAUCCACAUAUACUUUUUCAAUUUCUUUCCUUUGGAAGCACAGCUGCAAAACCAUUAAUGUGAAUGAUUCCUACUCACAGCUCUAUCUGCUAAAGACAGAGGUCACUUCAGUGUGGCAUGCCUCCAGACAUAAGGGCAUGAACGGGGUUAUCUGCCUUCUUGCUCCUGCUCUGGAGCAAGGAUUCAUGCCACUGACAGUUAAGUUUCUUUUUUCCUAUUAAUUCUUACAUUAUUUUAUAGCCUGUGUUUUAUUUAAAUUUUAGUUUUUGCUUAUUAUUAUCCUUGUAUCAUUUUUAAGGCCCCCAGUGUUUCCUCUGGGGGAGCCCUCUGCAUCAGGAGCAGUGGUUGGCUGUGGCUGCAGGGCCCUGUCUUCAGGGUUCCAGGGGAGGUUGUGCCUGCUACCUCUAUCCUCUGGGCUCUUUGUUGAUUUCCUGUGUCUGUGGGCAACUCUCGACUCCUGGUGCUUUUUCAACUGGUUUAUCUGUACUCUGAGAGUGUGUGUGGGAGUGUGUGUGGCUUUGGGUGUGACUGUGUAUUUGACUGUUGACUGUCAGUUGUAUGGUUGUGGGUAGUUCGGUGAAAGGGCAUGUGGGAUUGUUUUUAAUAAAUUGUAAAACACUUUGUGUUACAUACUUUGAAAAGUGCUUAAAAGUUUUAAUUGAUUGAUAACUUUCUUUACAACACUAUUAAGUCAGUUUUUUUUAACUUGAUAACGUCAUAAC